UACGGGGGGAGCAAGCGUUGUCCGGAUUUACUGGGCGUAAAGGGCGCGUAGGCGGUCAGCACAAGUCAGUUGUGAAAUCUCCGGGCUUAACUCGGAAAGGUCAACUGAUACUGUGCGACUAGAGUGCGGAAGGGGCAACUGGAAUUCUCGGUGUAGCGGUGAAAUGCGUAGAUAUCGAGAGGAACACCAAUGGCGAAGGCAGCUCGCUGGGACGUUACUGAGCUGAGACGCGAAAGCGUGGGGAGCAAACAGG
rnacentral:rRNA from 1 species